GGUGCCUUGGAGAAGUGGUUAACUCGCUCCCUUUGGGUCUAUGCACUUGGGAGAGGUCAGUGGUUCGAUCCCCCUAGGCGCCC